rnacentral:rRNA from 1 species
AGUGAACGCUGGCGGUAGGCCUAACACAUGCAAGUCGAACGGCAGCACAGUAAUAGCUUGCUCUUACGGGUGGCGAGUGGCGGACGGGUGAGGAAUACAUCGGAAUCUACUUUUUCGUGGGGGAUAACGUAGGGAAACUUACGCUAAUACCGCAUACGACCUACGGGUGAAAGCAGUGGAUCUUCGGACCUUGCGCGAUUGAAUGAGCCGAUGUCGGAUUAGAUAGUUGGCGGGGUAAAGGCCCACCGAGGCGACGAUCCGUAGCUGGUCUGAGAGGAUGAUAAGCCACACUGGAACUGAGACACGGUCCAGACUCCUAAGGGAGGCAGCAGUGGGGAAUAUUGGACAAUGGGCGCAAGCCUGAUCCAGCCAUACCGCGUGGGUGAAGAAGGCCUUCGGGUUGUAAAGACCUUUUGUUGGGAAAGAAAAGCAGCAGGUUAAUACCCCGCUGUUCUGACGGUACCCAAAGAAUAAGCACCGGCUAACUUCGUG